GUUAGAACCCCAGCUGCAAGUGAGACUGGAAAAAUGGCUCUCAGAGUUCCCGCCUCUGCAGUAGAGGAAGACACUCCAGAAGGAGUUGAGAAUGGGUGCUGAGUGCCUCUUCAGGAUGUCUGUCACACCUCAGGAAACCUGCCAGGAAUACCAAAGGGAGUGAAAAAUCCAAGGAAUACUUGUCAUUGAAAUUAGGGCCCACCUGGAUAAUCCAUGAUGAUCUCAUCUCAAGAUCCUUAACUUAAUGACAUCUGCAGAGACUGGUUUAUCAAAUAAGGGACUGUGGCUAUAUCGCUGACCUCAAGAAAACCUGCGGACAAAAUCUGCUAAAGAAGUAUCAGCAUCUAUUUCAAAAGUUAGCCAUUAUUUUAAGAAGACUGUGCUGGAAGACGGGUAUUUAACACAAACAGAUGCAAAAGAUACGGGGUUUCACCGUGUUGACCAGACUGAUUUUGAACUUCUGGGCUCAAUCAGUCCACCUGCCUCGGCCUCCCAAAGUGCUGAGAUUAUAGGUGUGAGCCCCUGCGCCUGGCCAGGGAUGCCGUUCUUCACUCUCCACACUCCAACCAGCAAUGAAGGAGAUCUGAGGUCUCGGCAUCCUCAUUCACACCUGAUUGAGCAGCCAUUAUAUAUCAGGCACUAUAGGAGUUCCUGGAGGAUACUGGUCUGAAGUUAGCAUGAUCUUGACUCAAGAAACUUAUAGUCCUGAUAAGAACUUCCACCAGAAUUCCAGAUAAGGCAGCACAGGCCUUGCUGUUUGCCCAUGCCCAUGCGGUCAGCUCUCUUGGGUACCGUGGCAUGCAGAUGCAGACACUCACCCA